ensembl:misc_RNA 7SK 7SK RNA
GGAUGUGUGGCAAUCCGGCUGAGACAUCUGUCACCCCAUUGAUCUCCGGGAUCAGUCCGGGUGUGCUGGCUGGCUAUGCAGGUGCCGCCUUCCUCUGUCACCGCUCCCGCGUGCCAUCUCUCCCAAAGCUGCAAGAGGAAGACCUUUCUCAUUAGAGGAGGACCGGGCUUUGGCCAAACGUAUAAUGGGUAGCUUUAUCCGCUGAUGAGAACCCUCCAAACAAGCUCACCUUCUCGUUCUUAAUAAAGUCCCCUCUCUGGAUUUUA